CUCUCGGUGCUAGCCGGCUCGAGUUUGCAACUAUGCUCUACGGUCGAUAGACACGCGUGGUCGUGAGGUAUUAGCUUUGCAGAAAGUUGAGUGUUUUGAUGUUUCCGAGUUAAGUCUUUGUUGAGCCGCCGGUCGGACGUAAUAACGUAGAGAUUUUUGAACAAUUUCACGACGGAAAGAGGAGCCUUUCCGGACGUAUCGAUCUACCAUUGUCUUAGACUGGCAUACACUCCUCUUGCAAAGAGAUUUUUCCGCCAUAAUAUAAUAAUAAUUUAUAAUAAUAAUUUCCGCCAUAGCACAGCAUAGCACGUGGUGUGCGCCAACAAGUGAUGUGUGUGUGGUUUCGACGAAGAUUUUGAUCCCGAUCGAGAGCCUGAGGAUCUGAUAAAAACGUGCCGACUUUCUCAGUAACGUCGUUUUAAUUUAAUCGUUGAAUCUUCUCUUCAUCUCUGCUUGAGAUAGUAGCUAAGGAUUGUCCACAUGUGAAUGAUAAAAUUUUUGGACGGGUCCGUGGUUGGCUCAGGCCACUUUUCGUUUAAAAAAAUACGCCAAUAGUAA